AACGAACGCUGGCGGCAUGCCUAACACAUGCAAGUCGAACGAGACCUUCGGGUCUAGUGGCGCACGGGUGCGUAACGCGUGGGAAUCUGCCCUUCGGUUGGGAAUAACACAGAGAAAUUUGUGCUAAUACCUUAUAAUGUCUUCGGACCAAAGAUUUAUCGCCGAGGGAUGAGCCCGCGUAGGAUUAGGUAGUUGGUGGGGUAAUGGCCUACCAAGCCGACGAUCCUUAGCUGGUCUGAGAGGAUGAUCAGCCACACUGGGACUGAGACACGGCCCAGACUCCUACGGGAGGCAGCAGUGGGGAAUAUUGGACAAUGGGCGAAAGCCUGAUCCAGCAAUGCCGCGUGAGUGAUGAAGGCCUUAGGGUUGUAAAGCUCUUUUACCAGGGAUGAUAAUGACAGUACCUGGAGAAUAAGCUCCGGCUAACUCCGUGCCAGCAGCCGCGGUAAUACGGAGGGAGCUAGCGUUGUUCGGAAUUACUGGGCGUAAAGCGCGCGUAGGCGGUUACUCAAGUCAGAGGUGAAAGCCCGGGGCUCAACCCCGGAACUGCCUUUGAAACUAGGUAACUAGAAUCUUGGAGAGGUCAGUGGAAUUCCGAGUGUAGAGGUGAAAUUCGUAGAUAUUCGGAAGAACACCAGUGGCGAAGGCGACUGACUGGAC
rnacentral:rRNA from 1 species